CCUACGGGUGGCAGCAGUGAGGAAUAUUGGUCAAUGGGCGCAAGCCUGAACCAUCCAAGUCGCGUGAGGGAUGAAGGUUCUAUGGAUUGUAAACCUCUUUUAUAAGGGAAUAAAGUGCGGGACGUGUCCCGUUUUGUAUGUACCUUAUGAAUAAGGAUCGGCUAACUCCGUGCCAGCAGCCGCGGUAAUACGGAGGAUCCGAGCGUUAUCCGGAUUUAUUGGGUUUAAAGGGUGCGUAGGCGGCCUGUUAAGUCAGCUGUGAAAGUUUGUGGCUCAACCAUAGAAUUGCCGUUGAAACUGGCAGGCUUGAGUAUGUUUGAGGCAGGCGGAAUGCGUGGUGUAGCGGUGAAAUGCUUAGAUAUCACGCAGAACCCCGAUUGCGAAGGCAGCCUGCCAAGCCAUGACUGACGCUGAUGCACGAAAGCGUGGGGAUCAAACAGGAUUAGAUACCCCUGUAGUC
rnacentral:rRNA from 1 species